UGUAAUUUAGUUUAGAUAGAAUAUUUAUUUUUGGUGUAAAAGGGCUUAAUUACAA
rnacentral:tRNA from 1 species